rnacentral:lncRNA from 1 species
AAUCUUGAGUGUUGUGCGUUUCAAUUUGUGGAGUUCGAAAUUGGUAUGAGCAUAUGGUGUCACUGGUUCUCGCAUCUAAGUAGUAGCAUACCAUUCAUGAGAUCAUAUCUAAACAUGCUUAAUAACUCCAGAAAAUUGCUUCCUUUGUUAUAACAUAUGUGAGUCCCAAUCUCUAGUGUAGGGUGUGUAGUCAGAAAAUGUGUGUGAAAAUAGAGAGUAUCUUGUAAGGAAUUGAGCAAAUUCUCUAAGGCAAGUUACUACAUUCAAAGCAUUGUUUUAAUUGGUUAAUUGUGAACUAGUAAAUAGGGACUGUGAUUAAGCUUGUGCUCAAGUGUGAAGAUAACCAAAAUCUAUGGGAAUGAUGAUUUUUAACAUGUCAUGUGCAUUGGAAAUCCCUGAGGCAAAUGUUGGAAGGUUAGGUUGUGUUUUAUUUGUUUUGUUAUUUUUGUUUCUUUUGUUUUGCUCGAGGACUCGCAAAAGCUAAGUGUGGAGGAAUUUGAUAGGAGCAUAUUUAUGCAACUUAGUUAGCUUAUUUCUUGUCAUUUACUUAGUUUAAUUCUAGUUAUUUUAGUACUUUAAGCUAUUUUCGUGUGUUUGUAGGUUCAAAUAACAAAGUUACCAACAAAGUGCUAUUUGAAGCAUUUUGGAGCAUUUUUGGGCCAAGAUUGGAUAAUGCAAGCAUGGAGACAUGAGGAUGGACGUUUUUGAAGAUUUGAAGGCUAGAAAUCAACAUGUGUGUGUGCAAGUGUGUUGACCUACAACUACAAACAUCCAUCCACUACACCCAUUACAUCCACUUAUUACCAAACAUCCAUCCACUACACCCAUUACAUCCACUCAUUACCAAACAUCCAUCAACUACGCCCACUACAUCCACUCAUUACCAAACAUCCAUCCACCACACCCAUUACAUCCACUCAUUACCAAACAUUCACCCACUACACCCAUUACAUCCACUCAUUACCACAACACUCACCCACUACACC